AGUGAACGCUGGCGGUAGGCCUAACACAUGCAAGUCGAACGGCAGCACAGUAAGAGCUUGCUCUUACGGGUGGCGAGUGGCGGACGGGUGAGGAAUACAUCGGAAUCUACUUUUUCGUGGGGGAUAACGUAGGGAAACUUACGCUAAUACCGCAUACGACCUACGGGUGAAAGCAGGGGAUCUUCGGACCUUGCGCGAUUGAUUGAGCCGAUGUCGGAUUAGCUAGUUGGCGGGGUAAAGGCCCACCAAGGCGACGAUCCGUAGCUGGUCUGAGAGGAUGAUCAGCCACACUGGAACUGGAACACGGUCCAGACUCCUACGGGAGGCAGCAGUGGGGAAUAUUGGACAAUGGGCGCAAGCCUGAUCCAGCCAUACCGCGUGGGUGAAGAAGGCCUUCGGGUUGUAAAGCCCUUUUGUUGGGAAAGAAAAGCAGCAGGUUAAUACCCCGCUGUUCUGACGGUACCCAAAGAAUAAGCACCGGCUAACUUCGUG
rnacentral:rRNA from 1 species